rnacentral:rRNA from 1 species
AGGGUUUGAUCAUGGCUCAGAACGUACGCUGGCGGCACGCCUAACACAUGCAAGUCGAACGAAGUAGCAAUACUUAGUGGCAGACGGGUGAGUAACAUGUAGGUAUCUGCCCUUUGGCCUGGAAUAACACGAGGAAACUUGUGCUAAUACCGGAUAAGUCUUUACGGAGAAAGCUUUAUGCACCAUUGGAUGAGCCUGCACUAGAUUAGUUUGUUGGUGGGGUAAUGGCCUACCAAGACUGUGAUCUAUAGCUGAUUUGAGAGGAUGAUCAGCCACAUUGGGACUGAGACACGGCCCAAACUCCUACGGGAGGCAGCAGUGGGGAAUCUUGCACAAUGGAGGAAACUCUGAUGCAGCGAUGCCGCGUGAGUGAAGAAGGCCUUUGGGUUGUAAAGCUCUUUCGUCGGGGAAGAAAAUGACUGUACCCGAAUAAGAAGGUCCGGCUAACUUCGUGCCAGCCGCCGCGGUAAUAC